rnacentral:rRNA from 1 species
GAUGAACGCUAGCGGCAGGCCUAAUACAUGCAAGUCGAACGGUGUCUUCGGACAUAGUGGCGCACGGGUGCGUAACACGUAUGCAACCUACCUUACAUUGGGGGAUAGCCUUUCGAAAGGGAGAUUAAUACCGCGUAAGACAGUAGCUGGGCAUCCAGCAGCUGUUAAAGAUUUAUCGAUGUAAGCUGGGCAUGCGUCCAAUUAGCUAGUUGGUGAGGUAACGGCACACCAAGGCAAUGAUUGGUAGGGGAACUGAGAGGUCAAUCCCCCACACUGGCACUGAGAUACGGGCCAGACUCCUACGGGAGGCAGCAGUAGGGAAUAUUGGGCAAUGGACGCAAGUCUGACCCAGCCAUGCCGCGUGCAGGAUGAAGGCGUUAUGCGUUGUAAACUGCUUUUAUACAGGAAGAAACGACUCUUGCGAGAGGCAUUGACGGUACUGUAUGAAUAAGCACCGGCUAACUCCGUGCCAGCAGCCGCCGUAAUAC